rnacentral:rRNA from 1 species
UACAGAGGGUGCGAGCGUUGUCCGGAAUCACUGGGCGUAAAGGGCGCGUAGGCGGCUCGGUCAGCGUGCGGUGAAAGCCCGGGGCUCAACCCCGGGUCGGCCGUGCGAACUGCUGGGCUGGAGCACUGUAGAGGCAGGUGGAAUUCCGGGUGUAGCGGUGGAAUGCGUAGAGAUCCGGAAGAACACCGGUGGCGAAGGCGGCCUGCUGGGCAGUAGCUGACGCUGAUGCGCGACAGCGUGGGGGAGCAAACAGG